GACGAACGCUGGCGGCGUGCUUAACACAUGCAAGUCGAACGAAGUGGCGAAAGGGUGAGUAAUACGUGGGUAACCUGGCCUCCCUUUUUGGAUAUGCGUUGGAAACGGGGUCUAAUACCGAAGAAUGGGGGAUGGGCUCGCGGCCUAUCAGUUAGUUGGUGGGGAAAUGGCCGACCAAGGCGGUGACGGGUAGCCGGCCUGAGAGGGUGACCGGCCACAUGAAGACUGAGAUACGGCUCAGACAACUACGGGAGGCAGCAGUGGGGAAUAUUGUACAAAGAGCGCAAGCCGGACUCGACGAGUCCGCGUGGGGGAUGAAGGCUUUCGGGUUGUACACCUCUAUCGCUAUCGAACGGGUAUGUGGUAAAGAAGCACCGGCUAACUACGUGCCAGCCGCCGCGGUAAUUC
rnacentral:rRNA from 1 species